rnacentral:rRNA from 1 species
GAAUAUUGGGCAAUGGGCGCAAGCCUGACCCAGCGACGCCGCGUGCGGGAUGACGCUUCUCGGAGUGUAAACCGCUGUCAGAGGGGACGAACGGCCGGAGUGGGAAUACUGCUUCGGAUUGACGGUACCCCCAAAGGAAGCGCCGGCUAACUCCGUGCCAGCAGCCGCGGUAAUACGGAGGGCGCAAGCGUUGUUCGGAAUCACUGGGCGUAAAGCGCGCGCAGGCGGGUGUGCAAGUCGGAAGUGAAAUCCCGGGGCUCAACUCCGGGGCUGCUCCCGAUACUGCAUGUCUAGAGACCAGUAGGGGUUGGUGGAAUUCCCGGUGUAGCGGUGGAAUGCGUAGAUAUCGGGAAGAACACCUGUGGCGAAGGCGGCCAACUGGGCUGGAUCUGACGCUGAGGCGCGAAAGCGUGGGGAGCAAACAGG